rfam:Punica granatum cultivar Dabenzi scaffold109, whole genome shotgun sequence.
UGCAAUCUGUGAUGCAAUUUUUUCCCUAUUGGAAUGAUAUUUCCAUGAUUAUUACCAAAAUAAUCACCAUCUUUCGGCUGAGAUUGCA